CCACCCCAGAUUUGAUGAAAUUUGAAAGAUCCUACAAGGAAAAAGGUGAUUUUUCUUUCAUAUCUUUAGGAAUCCCACUUACUGAUGUGAGGUAUCACACUAGCACAUCUCCUCCCUUAUUUGAUUGGCUUGUGAAGGCAAUUGGAUCGGAGUUCAUCCUGCUUUCCUGCGAUGUUUGGCAUGCAUGCGAAGUAAAAGGUCUAUACAUCCAAGCCUCUAUGAAGGUUUAUAUCAGAUUAUUUGAGAUUUAAUCUCUAGUUCUAUUGUUAAUCAGAUAAGAAUAUGAUCUUUAUUCAUGUAGAUUAAUAAAAAAAAUUUUAGAUGCAACCUGGGCC
rnacentral:lncRNA from 1 species